rnacentral:rRNA from 1 species
AGAAGCAGCCAUCAUUUAAAGAAAGCGUAAUAGCUCACUGGUCAAGCGAGUCUGUGCCGAUAAUGUAACGGGGCUAAGCACUUCACCGAAGCUAGGGGCUCUCGUAAGAGAGCAGUAGGGGAGCAUUCUGUAGGUCAGUGAAGAUGAGUCGUGAGGCUUGUUGGAGAUAUCAGAAGAGACUCUGCCAGCAUUAGUAACGAAAAGACGGGUGAGAACCCCGUCCGCCGAAAACCCAAGGGUUCCGGGGCAAGGUCAAUCCGCCUCGGGUAAGUCGGCCCCUAAGGCGAGAGCGAAAGCUGUAGUCGAUGGGAAUCCGGUUAAUAUUCCGGAACCAUUUGUUGUCGUUGACGAAGCGAGGACGCAGGAAGGUAGUGCUACGGGGUGAUGGAAAUCCCCGGGAAAGCAUGUAGGCAGAUGGCUUAGGCAAAUCCGGGCUGUCAAUGCUGAGAUGUGAGACGACACGGGAACUUGUUCCUGUGGAGUGCAUGAUCCUCGACUGCCGGGAAAAGUCGCUAAGGAGACAACAGAUGACCGUACCGUAAACGGACACACGUGGGUGAGGAGAGAAUCCUCAGGCGUUUGAGAGAACUCAAGCUAAGGAACUCGGCAAAUUAGCCCCGUAACUUCGGGAGAAGGGGUGCCCUUUUUGGU